GCAGCGCCCUCAGGGCGGCCCGGCCCGGGCUGCGGCCUGCGGGGACCUGUGGGUGCGGGGCUCGCUCGGGGACUUCCCACACACCUUUUUUUUCUCUUUCCCUUCCCUCCUUUUUUUCUUCCUUUUUUUCUCCUUUUUCCCCGCUUUUUCCUUUUUCCCCUUCCUUUUUUCCUUCCUUGCCCCUUUUUCUCUUUUCUGUUUUCCAUUUUUUGUUUUACUUCCCCCCUUUUUCUUUUUUUUUUUGUUUACCCCUUUUUUAUCCCUUUACACCCCUAUUUCCUUUUUUCUUGCCUUUUUUUUUUCCUUCCCAUUUUCCGCCUUCUUUAUUUUGUUUUCCCCUCUUUCUUCUUGUUCCCUCCCCCCUUUUUCUUUUUUCCCCUCCCCCCCCUUUUUUUGUAGGGUUGAUUUGUUUUUUUUUCCUGUCCUGUUUUUUCUUUCCGCGCAUUUCCGACAGCCAACCAAGAACCAGCUGGUGCAGAUUUAACCCGCUCCAAUCCCAUCUCCCACCAUGGAAAACUAACCACAGCCAAGCCAUUGGACAACGCGCCAAUUCCCAUUCCUACUUCCCUGGGAACAGGCGCAGCAGAAAAGGGUUUUCGCCUUUGAGUUCUUCAAAUUAAUAACCCUGGCAAGGGCAGAGAGCCGGCAGAUGAAAGGCAAGGUAUGGACUUUGAUCGUGCAAUCGGAGCCAUGCGGGCAGGCUCCCGAACCAUGUGGAGCACCCCUGAAGGUCAGCCUGGACUGAUCAGAUUGCAGCAAGAGAGCCRCAGAAAGCAGGGCAAACCGAGGUGGAAAAAUCUAUACACCCAGAUAUCUGCCAAGAGAUGAAAGAAAAGUUUGCWUCUGAUGCUGGGAUUUAUGAAUAAGAUCAACUGGCUGCACAACACCAUGCAUCCCUGUGAAUGMACACCUUUCAUGAGGAAGAGCGAGCACAUGGAAAAGUGAUUUCUCUGCUACUMCUAAGUUCUGGAAUUCCCUUGAGGCCCCAAAUGGCUUCAAGACAAAGCGUACGUGAACCACUCUUCUCUGUGAAGGCUCACAAUUAGAUCCUCAAGUUACCACCACUGAGUUUUCUCCAGAGAAGCAGGACCUUGAAGAGAGCAUUCCUGCUGGCACCACAUUCCCUGCAAUGACUGGCAGUCUGUGGUAAGCACAUGAACUCCUGCCUCCUUCCCCAAAAACAKGCACAAAAUGAAGGAUGCUAACAGUUUCCAAUGUCAUUAGGCACUGGAGAUCACUGCACCUUGUAUCUCCCUACAUUUACUUCCUUCUUGGAGGAUUAUUUUAACAAACUAUUAAGAAGUUAAYUAGCAAUGAAACACAGAUUACAAACUGAGGAUCACAAUUUUCUAAAGCUGAAAUCCCAGUCUCUACCACUGGCGUAAAAGUCCAAGUGACGAAAUGAACCUUGAACUUUGUUGCUUUACUCAUAAUUUUUGGAAACAAAAGAGUAUCUYGUCCCAGACACCGCAAUUUAGCAACUUCAUCUGUAUACAUGUCAGAAAAAAGGAGCCAAAAGCUUCAGCCAGCCAGUAACCAAACGAGCAUUCUCCUGAUCAACCUCACUGACUGGAAUCGCACUUGGAAGGGACACACACCAGCRCAGUUACUGUCACACCACCCAAGUCAGGCAGAAAUUCCAAUCCAGUGGUCUCAAAAAGUGGGCCACAUGAGCAGCAACCAAUCAUCUAGAUACAAAAUGAGUGGGAGAAUAAAAAGGAGAAACUAUUUACCACCAACAAGUUCAGCAGAACUCAGCCUGCAUCAUCCUGUUAGCUCUCCCAGUGACAUCCAGAAGCGAGUGAGCAGGAGAGAUGACACAGAGCUUUGAACUGGAACUCACUGGCAGAGGAAAGGGAGGGUU